AGUGAACGCUGGCGGUAGGCCUAACACAUGCAAGUCGAACGGCAGCACAGUAAGAGCUUGCUCUUACGGGUGGCGAGUGGCGGACGGGUGAGGAAUACAUCGGAAUCUACUUUUUCGUGGGGGAUAACGUAGGGAAACUUACGCUAAUACCGCAUACGACCUACGGGUGAAAGCAGGAGAUCUUCGGACCUUGCGCGAUUGAAUGAGCCGAUGUCGGAUUAGCUAGUUGGCGGGGUAAAGUCCCACCAAGGCGACGAUCCGUAGCUGGUCUGAGAGGAUGAUCAGCCACACUGGAACUGAGACACGGUCCAGACCCCUACGGGAGGCAGCAGUGGGGAAUAUUGGACAAUGGGCGCAAGCCUGAUCCAGCCAUACCGCGUGGGUGAAGAAGGCCUUCGGGUUGUAAAGCCCUUUUGUUGGGAAAGAAAAGCAGCAGGUUAAUACCCCGCUGUUCUGACGGUACCCAAAGAAUAAGCACCGGCUAACUUCGUG
rnacentral:rRNA from 1 species